GAGGGGUGUUUUUGCAGCAGUUCAGGGGCCCCACAGGACACUCAACCCUCGUCAACUUCUCUUCUGGGGCCUCGGGCUCUAACCUUUGCUCCCUCCGGGGGAUAUUACCAUUAUUAACACCUGAGAUGCUGAGGAUAAUGAAAACCGCUAUACCUGAGAGCGGGGAAGAAUUCCUCCAAUCUCCUGGCUCCAUCUUGUCAGACCGCUGUGUGCUCGGGGCCUGAACAGACGGAGAUCCAAUGCUACAACAAUUAUUCUGAAUUCUACAUGGGAAGAAGUCGUUUCUCAGAUACAGGGAGAUGAAUUAUGGCCCAGCAGGACGUCCAUCAUAUUUCGGAACGCGCCACCAAGGCCUCGCCUGAAGAAAUGGAGAUGAGGAGGGAGAAUUACCGGAACGGAGCGCUCCGCAAAGACAACGCUAAUGAGGAGCAUGAAGGAUCCCGGUCAGGAUGUGCAAGAAUAUGAGUGCAGGGGUUGUCCUCCAUGAUGUUCACGUAUACAGGCGGCACUGUAGACCCCAUAACUUCACAUUCGUGUUAGAAACACCUAAUGCAAAUAUGUAAGGAGAAGAAAUCUUCAAGACAGCCAAGACCUGAAGAGAAGCAUUAUGACUGCUCAUGGGGAGUCCAUAGGGGCCUCGGGGUGAAUGUGCACCCACUAUGGUGGUUAAGUGCAGUGUAUACUGACUGAUAUGGAUAGAACUUUGGAUGAAAUGUUUGCUGAAUCGUUGUGCUCCAUGACCUCCUAUAAACAUAAAACUGUGACCUGUCAGAUCGUGCUUGUCCAUUUAAAUGCUGAGAAAGGAAUGGGUCACUACCAAGCCCUCCUGUCCCUCAGAGUCUUUUUUCCCCUUAAGACUUGUCCUCCCCCUCCAGAUCCAU